rnacentral:lncRNA from 1 species
AUGUGCCACUCUUGCCACGCCCAGCUCCCUCCACCCCUGCCUGAUGUUAACCCUCUUCUCCCAUCCUGGGGAGCCUCUGACAGCAGGGAGGCGAGCACAGCACAUGGCAUCCGGCACUGCUCCUUCCAACCAGGAGCCCCUGCCUGGGACGCAUGCCCCCACCCAUCCAGAGGUGAAGACCGCUCAGCCUGUGGCUGCCUCUCUCCAGCCUCUCUGCCUACAUCCCACAGCCUGUGUUUCCAGGGAAAUGAAGACGAACACAUUUGCUGCAGCCUAUUGAGAGCAAGUGGAUUCUUCCCUAAUUCACAAACAUCUGUUACUCUGAAGGGCUUCAUGCAUCUUAUGAAAGGUCCGGAGAGGAAUGGAGAACGUAGACGGACUGUGGCAACAGCAUUAACACUCGGAUCCAGGGGAGGGGCGAGGGGCCUCCUGAUGCUCUUCACUCUGCUUGCUGCAGGUCGGAAAUUGGUCACAGUGAAGUCAGGGUGGGGGGCUGGGGGGAAGGAAAUCAGUGCACAGGAAAAAUCUUAAGUCCACGGGAGCCCCCGAGGCAUGAAUAUGGCCAGAGUUGUCAAAGCGAUGCCUGAGCUGUGGGCCUUUGGGGGACACCAGGGAAAGAGGCGGCCUGGCAGGGAGAUCCUUGCCCCAGGACUACCCACUGCCCCAG